rnacentral:lncRNA from 1 species
CCGGAAUUACCUAGUAAUUGCCACAUCUCGUAUGAGUUGUAAAAUAUAUGUUGACACAACUCCCACCUAUACAAAAAUUAAUCCUAGUCACAUAAAAAACCCUAAUUCCUAAUUAUAUCCAAUUUCACGUAACCUAAUUUAAUCUAUACCCUUUUACCUCUCCUCUAAUUUGAUAGCCUCUUUAUUUCUCCACCUCAAACUCUUAUUCUCAAAGCUUUAGCUCGACUAUAGCUAACUUUUAGCUCGAUUUAAGGUUGUUGCAUCCACCAUUAUGCUCGAUUUCAGCUCGCUACCUCCACCCUUCAACUCGAUUGGCGCAUGCUG